UAUAAAGAGAUGUACUGGACC
rnacentral:miRNA from 1 species